UUUCCGUGGGUGAACCUGCGGAAGGAUCAUUAUUGGAUUUUGAAACUUCAGGCUGCUGCUGGCUCUCCUCGGAGGGCAUGUGCACGCUUGUUGUCCAUUAUUUCUCCCACUGUGCACAAAUUGUAGACCUUUCAGUAGGCCUAUGUUGUUUUUCACAAUCUCUGAAUGUAAUAGAAUGGAUUUGAAUCUUGGGAAAUACAAUACAACUUUCAGCAACGGAUCUCUUGGCUCUC
rnacentral:misc_RNA from 1 species